CAGGACCUGCUGAACCUGGGGCCCUAUAGGAGAGCACUGAUGGCCCACCCCUGAACGUGGCCCUGGUCUUCAUGUCUGCAUCAGCCUCAGCCAUCUCAAGACCACAACGGGAACAUAGCCAAGUCAGAGAAGGAAGACCAAAAGCACGAGGGCCCUUCAUAUUAUUAAGCUGCUAAAUUAACUAAUCUUGGAAACUUCUAGACUACAAUUCUUGUUGUAUGAGAGUGGGUUGACAAUUAUUCUCUGGACUUUUUGGUAACCAAGAACUUCUAGCAACUAACCCUGGCAUGACCACCAGAAUCUGCAGGGCUGAGAGAGGAAAGAAAGGUAAAAGUGGAUGAAUGCAGCUGAAGAUGCUAUGGAACUCCUAUCACAUUCCAAGUGCUGUGUUGAUAUCUGGAGAUAUAGACAAGAUCGAAGCAGAUGCAGAGUCUUUAACAUGAAUAUUUGAAUCAGGUACAGGAUGCAGGUGAAGAGUAUUGGCCUCAGCUUUAGAGACCAGAGGUUAAAUCUCAAUGCUGCCACAAAACGAUCCAUGUAAGUCAGUAAACAAUGCUUUUUAAAUUAUUAUUAUAAAG